UCUCAGGCACAGCUGUGAU
rnacentral:snRNA from 1 species